GGCCUGAUGGUCUAGUAGUAUGAUUCCUUGUUAGGGCUUAUCAACCAUUUCGAGGAGGUCCUGGGUUCAAUUCCCAGUCAGGCCC
rnacentral:tRNA from 1 species